UGGGGAAUAUUGCACAAUGGGCGCAAGCCUGAUGCAGCCACGCCGCGUGUAUGAAGAAGGCCUUCGGGUUGUAAAGUACUUUCAGUGGGGAGGAAGGGAGUAAAGUUAAUACCUUUGCUCAUUGACGUUACCCGCAGAAGAAGCACCGGCUAACUCCGUGCCAGCAGCCGCGGUAAUACGGAGGGUGCAAGCGUUAAUCGGAAUUACUGGGCGUAAAGCGCACCCAGGCGGUUUGUUAAGUCAGAUGUGAAAUCCCCGGGCUCAACCUUGGAACUGCAUUCGAAACUGAUGAACUUGAGUAGUGGAGAGGAAAGUGGAAGUACUAGUGUAGUGGGGAAAUACGUAGAUAUUAGGAGGAAUACCAGUAGCGAAGGCGACUUUAUGGACACAAACAGACGCAGAAGUACGAAAGCGUGGGGAGCAAACAGG
rnacentral:rRNA from 1 species